AGAACUCAUGAACUAUGAACAGAACCAUGACUCUGAUCACCAUCUUCAUCUGGACUCUAGCUGUCUACAUACAGGAGUCCAGAGGGCAGUACACUCUGACUCAGAGUCCUACAGUGAAAGCUGUUCCUGCAGAAGAAACAGUCUCCAUAGCCUGUAGAGUUAGUAGUCCUGUGCACGGUAAUAAUCAUCUAGCCUGGUACCUCCAGAGACCUGGAGAAGCUCCCAAACUCCUUGUUUACUACGCUACAACACUUCAGUCUGGGACUCCAUCUAGAUUCAGUGGUACAGGAUCACGUAGUGACUUCACUCUGACCAUCAGUGGAGUCCAGGCUGAAGAUGCAGGAGAUUACUACUGUCAGAGUUUACACUACCCUAACAGUGUCUGGGUGUUCACACAGUGA